rnacentral:misc_RNA from 1 species
GAUAAGUUCCUCUUUUCAGAAGAUCAUUCGUCGGGAAGGCUUUUGAACUGGGAGCAACGGUUUAAUAUUGCUUUGGGGACGGCAAGAGGUAUCACAUACCUUCACGAGGAAUGCCGAGAUUGUAUAGUUCAUUGUGACAUAAAGCCUGAGAACAUAUUGUUGGAUGAGAACUACAUUGCCAAAGUAUCAGAUUUUGGCCUCGCCAAGCUCAUUAACCCAAAAGAC